rnacentral:rRNA from 1 species
GACGAACGCUGGCGGCGUGCCUAAUACAUGCAAGUAGAACGCUGAAGGAGGAGCUUGCUUCUCUGGAUGAGUUGCGAACGGGUGAGUAACGCGUAGGUAACCUGCCUGGUAGCGGGGGAUAACUAUUGGAAACGAUAGCUAAUACCGCAUAAGAGUAGAUGUUGCAUGACAUUUGCUUAAAAGGUGCAAUUGCAUCACUACCAGAUGGACCUGCGUUGUAUUAGCUAGUUGGUGAGGUAACGGCUCACCAAGGCAACGAUACAUAGCCGACCUGAGAGGGUGAUCGGCCACACUGGGACUGAGACACGGCCCAGACUCCUACGGGAGGCAGCAGUAGGGAAUCUUCGGCAAUGGACGGAAGUCUGACCGAGCAACGCCGCGUGAGUGAAGAAGGUUUUCGGAUCGUAAAGCUCUGUUGUAAGAGAAGAACGAGUGUGAGAGUGGAAAGUGCACACUGUGACGGUAUCUUACCAGAAAGGGACGGCGAACUACGU